UGACUGGUUGAGUUGGCUGGCGCCGGCCGCGGGCUUCAACCCCGUCGGGCCGCCUGUGCAAGGGCGGCCGUUUGGUUCGAUUCCAAAACCAGUCU
rnacentral:tRNA from 1 species